CGACUCCCUCCCGGCAAAGCCUAACCAGCAGCCGCGAAGCGAGCUUUGCAUGCGAGUGCGGUAACGCACUACUUGAAGCGUAAGCAGCAGGUACUGAAGCCGUGUGAUUGAGCCUCGAUAUAAAUCAAGCGCAGGGUGUCUUCAUUCUUACAACGAUGGGGACAGCACUGUCUGGUCGCCAUGGUGAGACCAGACAGACCAGCCGGGGUCUGAGAGCA
rnacentral:ncRNA from 2 species